rnacentral:lncRNA from 1 species
GGUGUUGGUCUAUUUUAAUAGUAAACCUUUCUGACAGAAAAUAAUUGAUGUCUGGUCGUCAACAGUAUAAGAAACCUUUGCCAUCAAGUGUGUGGAGACAGUAAACAACCUUGACAUGAUAUUUCCUCUCAGCAAUACAAGAAAGCAUCCUACUUCUCUCUUCCAUGAGAUGAGAAAUGCCUUUGGCUACACCAGCCUAAUUAGCA